GAAGUAAAUUAAUAUGAACUUCUAACUCAUAAAUUAUGAUCAUUAAUCAUAUUACUUCU
rnacentral:tRNA from 1 species